UUUUAUUGAUCAUUGAAAAAUCAAUUGAAAAUUGUGGAAUAAAUGAAUCCUAAUUUCUUUCGUGUCAAUUGAAACCUCAAACCGAGUUGUUUGCAAAAUUUUGCCUUUUGCUUAUGUCUAAGUAGGGAGCAUUUUUGAAUAAAUUUGGUUUUGGAAUCUAAAGUUGGGGAGAGUAAAGUGAAAAGUUGAUUAGAAAGAAACCUCAAACCGAGUUGUUUGCAAAAUUUUGCCUUUUGCUUAUGUCUAAGUAGGGAGCAUUUUUGAAUAAAUUUGGUUUUGGAAUCUAAAGUUGGGGAGAGUAAAGUGAAAAGUUGAUUAGAAACCUGGAAAAAUGAGUUUUUAUGAAAGGGUAAAAAUAUGAAAAGAAACAAGAAAAAGAAAUCACCCUUGAAACCAUAGAGCAAAGAAAAAA
rnacentral:lncRNA from 1 species